rnacentral:misc_RNA from 1 species
AACGCACAUUGCGCCCCUUGGUAUUCCGAGGGGCAUGCCUAUUCGAGCGUCAUUAUCACCCCUCAAGCCUAGCUUGGUGUUGAGACCUGCUGUCAAGGCAGUCUCUAAAAUCAGUGGCAGUGCUGUCAGGCUCUAAGCGUAGUAAAUUCAUCGCUAUAGACACCUGGUGGACACUCGCCAGAACCCCCCCAUUUUUUAAUGAUUGACCUCGGAUUAGGUAGGGAUACCCGCUGAACUUAA